AGUAAGUCAUCCUAUUGAUUCAAA
rnacentral:siRNA from 1 species